UACGGGGGGGGCAAGCGUUGUUCGGAAUUACUGGGCGUAAAGGGCGCGUAGGCGGGUGGACAAAUCUCUCGUGAAAGCCCACGGCUCAACCGUGGAAUUGCUGGAGAUACUGUCUGUCUUGAGUCCGGGAGAGGAGGGUGGAAUUCCCAGUGUAGCGGUGAAAUGCGUAGAUAUUGGGAGGAACACCGGUGGCGAAGGCGGCUCUCUGGACCGGUACUGACGCUGAGGCGCGAAAGCUAGGGGAGCAAACGGG
rnacentral:rRNA from 1 species